rnacentral:rRNA from 1 species
CAUAAAUGAACUCAAAUACAUCAGUAGAAUAACCAGGAAGAGUUCUCUUUUCUUUUUAACGACUUCUCCGCAAGGGGUGUAUGAUGACCAUGGAAUCAAUUUAGUUGGAGAAAUGGUUAAAGAGUCGGUAGAGUAGUUCAAUUUCUGAACUAUCUGGUUAGGUUCUAAUGGUACAUAAAAAUUUGAGGGAAUGAUCUUGCUUGAAUAGUCGUACUCAUAACCGCAGCAGGUCUCCAAGGUUAGAAGCCUCUAGUUGGCAGAAUAAUGUAGGUAAGGGAAGUCGGCAAAAUAGAUCUGUAACUUCGGGAAAAAGAUUGGCUCUAAAGGCUGAGUAUAUGGGCUAUAUUUUGAAGUUGUUGGAGAUUAGAUUAUUACGAUUGGCUGUCAUGGUUGAUUGUGAUGGUUCAGUUAAAGAUGAUGGAGG